CUAUUUUCAUCAGAAGAAACCCACGGGCAGAGUUCUGUGGUGAAACAAGUACUUAACGGAACCAAGACUCAAACCCGGGUCUUCUGUUUUCUGGUGGUGUUCUCUGGCCAAAAUAACCCUGUCAUGUUUGGUUGAAGUCAUUAUAAAUGCUGCCCCAGAUGCUAUCUAGGGGCUCCUCCGUUUCUAGUUCCUCCUUCCACAAGCCAGAGGCCACAGCCCUUGAUUUGAAUUUUAAAUUAUCCAGGAACCUCCUACCCAAAGAACACACAGCCCUCGUGUACAGCAGCCGGUGGCAACUAGCUGAGUUCAAACAGAUACAAGAAUCUCAUAAUCCGGGCCAGAUGUUAAUCGUCUUUUCUGUAAGAGUAAAACUGAAGGGUAUUGCACAAAGACCACAAGAAAAAGUCAUCGUCCAAACCAGAGAAAGGAAAUUGACCAGUGACCUGUCGACCUGUCGUGGGCACAUAACCGCAUGUGAUGAGAGGCAGGACCCUGGCAGGGCAGAGAAACCAGCUCCUUUCAGAGGUUUCCAGACUGUAAAUUUCAAAGCCCUGUACAAUUUCAACAACAAUGAAAAUUUAAGGAUCAAGCAUACUGGCCUUUACAACCUUCCACUUUGCCAAAUAAGCAAUUUGAAAAAAUAGGUAACACUCAUUUUUGCUAUCAUUUUAUAAAAGGAUAGUUUUAACAGAAAAAAAAGGGUAAUAAAGAAAGUUAUCUUAGAAUAAAAGGCAGUUUCUCAAUUAAAUUCAUUUGAAGUAUGAAAACUUGCUAUACAUUCCUUUAUUUUUCUACUUUUGUUUGCAGGCCAGUGAAAAGGUUUUCAUGUGGACCAACCCCAGGGAGAAAGCAGGCACUUGGAAACCUCGUGUCUGUGAAGAACAAGGGGUGGAACCUCUGAAAUCCUCCCCUUUGAGACUUCCUGUGCAUUCACACAUCCUUCUGUGUGCCUUGAAAAUGUAAGAAACAGAUGUGGACAAGAGGCAGCCAGAAGUCCCCGGCACAGGCCCUGCAACCUAUCUGCUUGCAUCCUGCUUGGGAGACAUGUCAGAGAUAAACUCCAGGAGUAGUCACGAGGGGUGACAGCGGUUCCUGCCUGGCUCUGCAUCCAACAGCCUAGUGGAGCCUAGGCUAAGUCUACAAAAAUACGGAGCUCAGAUCUCCUACCUAGAUUUUUUGGCUUUAUUCAGGCAGAAUUGACAAAUUAAAAGGUAUGCAUUUAAGGUGUACUACUUGAUGAUUUGAAAUACGUAUACACAAUUAUGCUAAUUAACAUAUCCAUCACCUCAUAGUUACCUUUUUAGUAUGUGAUGAGAACACUCAAGAUCUGACCUCUUAGCAAAUUUCAAGUGUACAGUUCAUUGCAGUCAUCAUGAGGGACACUAGAUCUCCAGAACUUAAGUUACGUUUUGAUUGAUUAGGUAUGAGCUGGGCCUAACGAUAGCAUUUUACUCUUUUUUGUUUGUUUGCUUUUGAGACAGGGUCUUAACUCUCACCCAGGCUGAGUGCAGUGGCACGAUCAUGGUUCACUGCAGUCUCAACCACCUGGGCUCAAGUGAUCCUCCUACGGUAGCCCCACAAGUAGGUGGGACUAUAGGCACACCACCAUGCCUAGCUCAUAUUUUAUUUUUCGUAGAGACAGGGUCUCACUAUGUUGCUAAGGCUGGCCAGGAACUCCUGUACACAAGUGGUUCUCCCGCCCUGGGUUCCCAAAGUGCUGGGAUUACAGGCUUGAGCCACUGCACCUGACUGGACAUUUUACUCUUUAUCACAGCAUUAGAUACACAUGGUCUAAAAUAUCACAAGGCUUAUAAUGGAAACAACUAGCCCCUGGCUCUGCCUACCCCACCCUGCUCAUAGCCAUGAGACUGCGACCACCAGUGCACUUAGUGAUGCUUUUGGGAAUUUACCUCUACUCUUGUUAAUAACAUGCUCAUAGGACUAAAUCCUGAUCCUCCAUUGAGCACACUAACCUUUGGGGUCUGCAAAACCACAGCUUUUCCCCCCUAAAGAUGUCUACAUCCUAAUCUCGGGAACGCAGGAUCCUGUGAACAUGUCACUUUCCAUGGCAGAAGGGACUUUGCAGGUGUGAUUCAAGUAAGCGUCUUGAGAUGGGGAGAUUUUCCUGGAUUAUCCAACCUGGUCCAAUAGCAUCAUAAGGGUCCAUAUGAAAGGGAGGGAUUAUCCAGCCUGGUCCAAUAUCAUCAUAAGGGUCCAUAUGAAAGGGAGGGAUGACAGUGGAGUCAGAAAAAAAAGAGGUCACCAUGGAAGCAGAGGUUGGAACCAUUCACCGUGAAGACAGAGGAAGAGGCCAAAACUGAGGAAUGUGGCGGCCUCUGGAAGCUGGAAAGGGGAGAUUCUCCUCAGAGCUUCCGGAAGGGAGGACGCCUUGAUUUUAGUGCAGGGAAGACUCAUUUCAGACUCCUGAACUCCAGAACUGCAAGGCCUCACUUGUGUUAUCUUAAGCCACUGAAUGUUCGGUAAUGAGUUACAGAAGCAACAGGAAGCCAAUACAGCUCUUUAAUACUCCCCCAAAUUACCACCCUGUUGCC
ensembl:lincRNA